AUGAGACUAUCAUGACCUCUUCCCUUAUUGGAAAGGAUGCUGGAUGAAUUGUUAUAAUAGGCAUUAUAAUGACCAAAUUUAUGUGUGGAGGGAAGAAAGGUAAUGUGCGUGGAGCUGGUUUUCAUAACAUUUGUGUUGUUUUUUUCUUUUUUUGCAUACUUUAAUUGUCGAUCUUCUUGGGCUAUAUUUGUCAAAAUAUAGGGUAAUUACUGAAAGUUUCUGGUUUGAGAAAUGAUACAAAUCAAAGGUCCAAAAGCUCUGGAUUGGAUUGUUAUCAUACAUUUGUACCCGUUUCAUUCCAAAAGAUUGAAUUUAUUGUCAAGAACCACAAACAUGAUCUAGAUUGUUAAAUGGGUUCUGCCCCUGAAGAUCAUUCAGGUAGGUGUGAAAGAUGUGAUUGGUUUGGUUUAGGAAGUCGAAUCAUCAUAACAACAAGGGAUAAACAUCUACUAGCUAUGCAUGAUAUAUAUUUGACAUAUAACAUGAUAUGUCACUAAAAUACUGGAUAGUUGUGGCUUCUUUCCAAAUGCUGGUAUUGAAAAGCUUAUUGACAAAUGCCUCAUAAGUAUUGAUAAGUAUGACAGAUUGACCAUGCAUGACUUGUUGCAAGAUAUGGGUAGAAACUUGUUCGACAAGAGUCACCAAGAGAGCCUGGCAGACGUAGUAGGUUAUGGUUUCAUGAAGACGUUCGUUAUGUACUUGAAGAAAAUACGGUUGGAGGAUUGCAGGCAACUUCAAGAAAUUCUAGAGCUUCCACCUAAUAUAGAAGAGGUGUAUGCUAUUGGAAAGGUUUCCCAAAGUAUCAAGGAAGUUUCAAUUCAAUACUUGCAACUUAAGGGCACUUCGAUGGAUUGAAUUGUUCAGAUGCUAUAAAAUGUUUGUGAAUAUACGGAUUCAUGUGGCAAAUCCUUUAUUCGAUGAGGGACAUCUUAAUGACUAUUUUGGCAGCAUUAUAUUUAUGGGAAGUAUGAUUCCUGACUGGUUAAUCCGUUGUAAGGAGGCUUCAAAUACUCGAUCAUGUGAAAUAGAUAUUGAUGGGAGAAAUAUUGGGGUGAGAUUAUAGGAAUUGCUGUGUAUGCUGGUGUUGGACCUAUUUUCGUUCAUCUUCUUAAUGUUGACAUCACCUGUAACGGCGUAAGAAAGCUUUGUAAAGAAAGGAUACUUCACUCAUGGGAUUUAGAUCAUGAAUGGUUGGAGUACUCUGUUCUAGAACCUUUCCAGCUAAAAGGGAAAAGUCUAAAUGUUAACCUUUUCAUCCCUUUUGAGCAUGUUAUUUCAGCAUGUUUUUUGUGUCUGUUAUGGAGCUAUUAUGGAGCCUUGAUUCACUUCUAAAGUGAUAUUUGGUCGAGCUAUUAUGGAGUUGAUGAUCUAGAACAGUAAAAGGGAUGAAAAAAUAAAUGUUUGAAGAAGGCUGAUUGGUAUGCCUAAUAUACUUCCAAGAUUGAAGACAUAUUGAUUUUCCCUUAAAGAAGCAUGAUUAUGUCAUAUUACUGGACGUCAUGAGGCAUGAGUGCUCAGGGCAUGUUUUGAAGUAUUGCAUGCAUAUUUAUCAAACAAAACCAGAUAUGAAAAAAGUUUGUGGAAAAAAUUCUUUCACUAUUAGCAUGUUAAGAACUUCAAUUGCAUUAUCUCAUGGUGACUUGUG